CCCUUAGAUGUCCUGGGCCGCACGCGCGCUACACUGAUGCAUUCAACGAGUUUUACCUUGGCCGAGAGGCCUGGGCAAUCUUUUAAACCUGCAUCGUGAUAGGGAUAGAUUAUUGCAAUUAUUAAUCUUGAACGAGGAAUUCCUAGUAAACGCAAAUCAUCAAUUUGCAUUGAUUACGUCCCUGCCCUUUGUACACACCGCCCGUCGCUACUACCGAUUGAAUGGUUUAGUGAGAUCCUUGGAUCGGCCCUGUCGCGGCUGGCAACGGCCGCGUCGGCGCGUCGAGAAGACGAUCAAACUUGAUCAUUUAGAGGAAGUAAAAGUCGUAACA
rnacentral:rRNA from 1 species